AACCCAGUGCUUGCACUGGGGGUUGUAGGACUGCAAUGUGCAAGAGGUGAGUUUAGCAGAACAUUCUGGAAAGUAUAGCCAUAGAGGGUGAUAGUCCCGUAUGCGAAAAACAAACCUUAGCUAGCAGUAUCCUGAGUAGGGCGGGACACGAGAAAUCCUGUCUGAAGCUGGGUCGACCACGAUCCAACCCUAAAUACUAAUACCAGAUCGAUAGUGCACAAGUACCGUGAGGGAAAGGUGAAAAGAACUGAGGUGAUCAGAGUGAAAUAGAACCUGAAACCAUUUGCUUACAAUCAUUCAGAGCCCUAUGUAGCAAUACAGGGUGAUGGACUGCCUUUUGCAUAAUGAGCCUGCGAGUUGUGGUGUCUGGCAAGGUUAAGCAAACGCGAAGCCGUAGCGAAAGCGAGUCUGAAUAGGGCGCUUAGUCAGAUGCUGCAGACCCGAAACGAAGUGAUCUAUCCAUGAGCAAGUUGAAGCUAGUGUAAGAACUAGUGGAGGACUGAACCCAUAGGCGUUGAAAAGCCCCGGGAUGACUUGUGGAUAGGGGUGAAAGGCCAAUCAAACUUCGUGAUAGCUGGUUCUCUCCGAAAUAUAUUUAGGUAUAGCGUUGUGUCGUAAUAUAAGGGGGUAGAGCACUGAAUGGGCUAGGGCAUACACCAAUGUACCAAACCCUAUCAAACUCCGAAUACCUUAUAUGUAAUCACAGCAGUCAGGCGGCGAGUGAUAAAAUCCGUCGUCAAGAGGGAAACAACCCAGACUACCAGCUAAGGUCCCUAAAUCUUACUUAAGUGGAAAACGAUGUGAAGUUACUUAAACAACCAGGAGGUUGGCUUAGAAGCAGCCAUCCUUUAAAGAAAGCGUAAUAGCUCACUGGUCUAGUGAUUUUGCGCGGAAAAUAUAACGGGGCUAAAGUAAGUACCGAAGCUGUAGACUUGCGCACAACUUAGAUUAUUUAAGUUUAGAAUAUGAGAAACUAAGUUAUAUGUUUAGUUAUAUUUUUACUGAUUUUUAUAGAGUAAAGAUAGAAAUAAAACUUAGUAAAAUCAGUAAAAAUAUUCUUAGACUAAAGUUAAGUAGUUUAAGUUGUGUGCAAGUGGUAGGAGAGCGUUCUAUUUGCGUCGAAGGUAUACCGGUAAGGAGUGCUGGAGCGAAUAGAAGUGAGCAUGCAGGCAUGAGUAGCGAUAAUUAAUGUGAGAAUCAUUAACGCCGUAAACCCAAGGUUUCCUACGCGAUGCUCGUCAUCGUAGGGUUAGUCGGGUCCUAAGUCGAGUCCGAAAGGGGUAGACGAUGGCAAAUUGGUUAAUAUUCCAAUACCAACAUUAGUGUGCGAUGGAAGGACGCUUAGGGCUAAGGGGGCUAGCGGAUGGAAGUGCUAGUCUAAGGUCGUAGGAGGUUAUACAGGCAAAUCCGUAUAACAAUACUCCGAGAACUGAAAGGCUUUUUGAAGUCUUCGGAUGGAUAGAAGAACCCCUGAUGCCGUCGAGCCAAGAAAAGUUUCUAAGUUUAGCUAAUGUUGCCCGUACCGUAAACCGACACAGGUGGGUGGGAUGAGUAUUCUAAGGCGCGUGGAAGAACUCUCUUUAAGGAACUCUGCAAAAUAGCACCGUAUCUUCGGUAUAAGGUGUGGUUCGCUUCGUAUUAGGAUUUACUCCGAAAGCGAAGAAACUUACAACAAAGAGUCCCUCCCGACUGUUUACCAAAAACACAGCACUCUGCUAACUCGUAAGAGGAUGUAUAGGGUGUGACGCCUGCCCGGUGCU
rnacentral:rRNA from 1 species